rnacentral:tRNA from 1 species
AGCAAAAUAGUUCAAUCGGUGGAACAUUGGAAUCAUACUCCAAAUGAUGAAGGUUCAAGUCCUUUUUUUGUUA